UACGUAGGGACCGAGCGUUGUCCGGAAUCAUUGGGCGUAAAGAGCGUGUAGGCGGCCACUUAAGUCCUGCGUGAAAUCUUGCGGCUCAACCGCAAGCGGUCGUGGGAAACUGGGUGGCUAGAGUGCGGGAGAGGAGAGUGGAAUUCCUGGUGUAGCGGUGGAAAUGCGCAGAUAUCAGGAAGAACACCCGUGGCGAAGGCGGCUCUCUGGAACGCAACUGACGCUGAGACGCGAAAACGUGGGGAGCAAACAGG
rnacentral:rRNA from 1 species